UACAAGUAUGAACCUGAAAGUGAGCAUAAUGUGGGACCUUUAAACUUACUGUUUGCCUGCCCUAUUAAAGACGGAUGGCCUAUGUUGAUACCACAACCACAACCACACUGCAACGUUACUAUUUUUGGUUCUUCAUAAAUAUGCACCUGUUUUGGCAGGAAAUGGUGAUAUGCGGUGGGACUCCUGUGAAACUUGUGAAAAGAUAUGGUAAAUAUAAUUGCCCUAAAAGUCAGAGGUGUCUGUGGGCACAGAUAAGAUCUGGUAUAUUACCACUACAUAUUGAAACAGGAAGAUACAGAUGUGUAACUGAAGACACAAGACUGUCAAUACUGUGAAUUAAAUGUGGUUGAGAACGAAAUUCAUUUCAUUUUAUUUUGUCCUGUAUAUCAUGAUUUACUACAAAUACUAUUAAGCCUUAAUUGAAUAUCUUUUUGAUCAUUUUUUGUAUUUUCUGAAUAUCUUUCUAAAGUAUGGGAUAGGAGGAGAAAAGUAACAUACGAUAGAUAAAUUCCUCAGGCUCUUAUGCCUUUUUGUCAUGAUUAGAUUUGUGUUUGUGUCUUGUGUUUAGGGGGCUGUGAUUGUAUAUCUGUGACUGUUUAUUUGUUGUAUUUCCAUUGUGGGAUAUAUAUCCUGGGGCAUUAUUUUAGGGAGGUUCAUGUUCACGAUUAUGUCUGGAUGAUGUUUAUUUGUAUGUUCAGAUGAUGCUGGUGUAUUGUGCUGUUAGAUGAUGGUGGGCUAACAUGCAGGAAGGUAUGAUUUGUUGUUGGUUAAUAUGUCUGAAUAAUCCCAUGAGGGAUGGGUUAUGUAAAUGACCAGACACGAAAAUUAAUCAUUCAUUCACUAUAAGAUCUAAAUAAACAACGAAAGAAGUUCAUCUGGUCAGGUUUUACUUCACGUUUUACUUUGAAAUAUGAGUUACGGUACCUUCAAAAGAUUGUAAAGACGCUGACAUUCAUGGAUUGUAUUCAACAAAACGUGAUGAUUUGUUAGCCUAUUUCUUUUUGCAUUUGUUAAUAUUACGAUAAUCAUUCCAGCAAUGCAUGAUGGGAUAGACUCAAGUCCUCCUGUGACCAGGAAAAAGAAGAUACAAAUAAUGAGUGAGUGAAUGAAUAAAUGAGUAAAUAAAUGAGAACAUAUGAGGAGAAAAACACAGCAAGCUGUAAAAUACUAUAAAGGUCAAAUGAGGGUUGAAUUAAAACCUCACCAUGUCUCUGUACUUUAAUUGAAAGCCAAACUUUUAUUUUAACUGCAUGUGAUAAACACAGUCAAUACUGAGGUGUUGCAGAUGCAAAUCAUGUUUCCUGUUUUAUGUUUCUGUGGGCUGGAGACCUUCACUCAGAUGAAACUGAAAGAGUUUGACUUUGUUGACAGAGCUGAGAGCCAUCACAGGGUAUGAGAUCUCUUGCUGGAAAAUGCGUGGUGGAUUAUUUGAAGCAAUCAAGAGAAGGGACAGUAACUUGGUGAGUCUUGCUAUUGAAAGAUAAUUUAGACACCGACACAAAUGUACUGGAGAAAUGGCUGAGAAAAGUGCUCAUUUUGAAAGUUUCCUGAACUGCCAUGAGAAUUCAGAGACAACCAGUGAUCCUGUGUCAUAUAGACUCAAAAAAGGUCUCACUCUUAAAAGAACAACCUCAAAAGACGAUCCUGGGUUGAACUUUGGACUGGAGGAACUGGCUGACUCCUUUGCUGGGGGACAGAAAGCUGGAUCACCUGAGACAGAAUAAGGAGAGAAGAAGGUGGAGGAGGUGUGUCGUAAACAUCAAGAAGUGACUAACUGUUCUGUGAGGAUGAAGAUGGAGCUGUGUGUCCUGUCUGUGAGUUUUCUCUCCAGACUCAAAAGGUGUUUCCCAUAGAAUGAGCAGCCAUUGACCUGGAGGACCAGCUGAAGUCUCCACAGGACAAGAGGGACAAAUACAAACAAGUGGAGAAAACAUGCGAGGAAAUGGUUAAAUACUUCAUGAAGUCCUUUUUUAUAUGUUUCACCCCUGCUCCUCAGAGAGCCUGACUCUGCUACUGGAUAUACCAAUAAUCCUGUCAUAUAUUAUGAGAAUAUUUACAGAACAUUACACCGUUAAACAACUUCUCUCACUGUCUGGAUAUAUAUUUUUUCAAGCCACUUUGUGUUUUUGUCUAUACCGUUGGAAAAAUAACUGCUGCAAGAAGAGAAGCAAAUGAAGGCUUGUUUGAGACGAUCCGCCCCCUCGCCUGGGAAAUAAUAGAUCAGGCGGCAGCAGCAGGGUGUGGGUGGUUUCUAAUUUUGGUAUCAUUGUUGCUCUAAGUCUUGUAACUGUUUCCAUUAGUGUUAUAUUGUUUAUUUCCUUUAUUGUUGGGGGUGGGAGGGAAAAUUGAUGAAAAAUAAAAGACUACUUACUUGCUCUUUAAUUUGUGUUCUUAAGCUUUU